UACAGAGGUCUCAAGCGUUGUUCGGAUUCAUUGGGCGUAAAGGGUGCGUAGGCGGCGCGGUAAGUCGGGUGUGAAAUCUUGGAGCUUAACUCCGAAACUGCAUUCGAUACUGCCGUGCUUGAGGACUGGAGAGGAGACUGGAAUUUACGGUGUAGCGGUGAAAUGCGCAGAUAUCAGGAAGAACACCCGUGGCUAAGGCGGCUCUCUAGUACGGUACUGACGCUGAGACGCGAAAGCGUGGGGAGCGAACAGG
rnacentral:rRNA from 1 species